CGCGACGCUCACGCGACAGGAGACGAGCGCGGCGUCAGCUCCAGCAACAGUUGGGGGUCCCGUCGAAGAACUGCCGCUCCCCUCCUGCACAUCACGGACCUUCCCGAUGACGCCUCGAAUUCCCCACUUCUCCUCCCACCAGUGGGACGUGCAGACGUCUCCAUCGUGCCACCCUCCACAAGUGCCGCUGCCCCCGAGAGACGAGAACGGUGACGGAACCAGGCCCGAGCAGCCGCCCGGCGCCUCAAGCCCCCUGCCCGCCCAGGAAGCGUUCGGAAAUGACACGGAGCAAUUUAACGGAGCCAGCAGCCCGGGGGAGCCUCAAAAUUGAAGUCCCCACCAGGUGGAAUACCGCAGCGUGCAGAAGCCACAGCACCACGGAGACCGCUGGAAGAGACGGGAAGUGGACGGCUCCAAGGGAGUCCCCAACCCCCAACGAAAGCCGCGCUGCAGUCCCGUAGGAUCACGGGACUUCCCGAGGUGGUCUUUUCACAGCUGGAGCCGAGCCACGGCAGCGGAGAAUCACGGUAUUCCGAGAUCAGCAGUGCCUUGGAACUGAAAGGUUUUGUCCGACCAAAGUGCAGACACAAAGGGAAGCCCCUUGGCAGAAAGGGUCCGGUUAGCCCCCCGCUGACCGCGCCACAUUAACAUUCCUCAGCAGAGCACUUUUUUGGAUGGCCGUCGAGACCCAUUUACCCUUCCCUCACGCACAGCUUUAAUGGACCAGUUGAGGGAGGGGGGGGAAGAAAAAAAAAAAAAACACAAAUGCAGAGAAAG